GCAUCGAAAGAAUUCACAGUCGUAAGCAACUUGAGCAUCACACCUAAAAUACCUGAGCAAGCUGUGAAGGAAAAAGGGUGUUAUAUUAUUUUCUCACCAGGUUGCUUCUGAAGAUGCUGAAAGGAGCUGCUCUUCUAACAGGAAGGAAGAAUAUUUAUUUUCUGGAGAAAGAGUACACGGUGAAAGCAUUUAAUCACUGCAUUGACUUGAAAUUGGUUUGAAGAUAAAAUGACAUUUGAAUCAAACUACUACCUGAUCCAACAUCUAAACCAAGAUGAUACUGUUAACUGAAGUGCUGAAAGAAUUUUCCUCCCAUUAUAAUGAGAAAAGACUUAUCAAAACAGUUGUCAGAACUAAGAGGUUUGUCUUAGGAAUGCGAACACAGGCUGUGAUCCCAUAGAGAAGUGUGCUGCAAUGUGCCAAAAGUACGAAGGCUUUACUAUCAGCAAUAGCAUUUCUGCAAGUCCUGAUUGACACGUCCUUAAAGUAUAAGAGCAAAUAGUCCUGUAAGUUAAGUGGAAACAAUUUUAUGUCAAAUGAUCCAGUUAUUACAUUUUUUGUUUUCUCUUACACAUUUUUAGUAAUUUCUAAGAAUAUAAUCCAUCUGGAUCUCCUAUUUUGAAACCCCCUGAACUAAACUAUACAUAUGAGGACCUUGGAAGUCAUGUUGAAUUCAGAAUUUGUACAACAGCGUUCCAGGAAAAUGUAAUUUUCACAGCUGUGGAAGAAGGAAGCAGAAAGCAAAUGGCACUAUUUUCUGUAUCUCUGUUUGGAAAGUCACAGAUGAUCUCUGGGAAUUUAUCCAGUGCAUCUAUACUGACAACAAGUACCAACUGCAAUAGGCCAGAAAUAAAACUCUUUUAUACAAUUAGCCUAGUGAGAAACAGUAGGAAAAAGAGCAUUUUAAAAGAAAAUAACUACCUGCCUUGAGGUGAGUGGUUUUGAAUUGACCAUAAUGACUUUGUCUCUCAUACCAUAAUUCUCUGUUAUCUGUUGGCUUUCUUUUUUUUUCCUAGCAGACAAACAAUCCCUUUGAACAGAGCUCUCUGAAGUGUCACUCUGGGUAUGAAGGGAUGGAGAAGAAAACCUUUGAGCUUUGACUGUAUGGUAACAGAUGCACUAAACUCCAUGCAGGAGUGAAAUCCUGUGGGGGUCAUCACUGGAAUUCAGUCUAUGGACUACCAAUGGGAAGCAGACUGAAAUAUCCUUUUGGAGUGGCCUCCUUUCUUUGUCAGAGAAUCUAUCACCACUGUGAAUACCAGUUCUGAAAAAGUGAAUGAAAAGGAAGAAGGAUCUGACUCCCUUUGAAAACCUGAGAAUAUUUUCCAUUUGUUUGCUG